AAAUCCCUGGGGUGUUUGUCAGCCGGUUGAUGUCCCCGAGCCGAUAUUCAAAUACCCAGGAAAUCUUUACUCUGACUAUUGCGCAUGCUCGGCCCGACCGAGAAGCCUGCGGUCAGACAAGGUUUCCGCCUUGGACCUACGGUUCAAGGGCCCAAACCGGCAACGGCAUUCCCGGGGUACCU
rnacentral:other from 1 species